rnacentral:rRNA from 1 species
CCUACGGGUGGCAGCAGUGAGGAAUAUUGGUCAAUGGGCGCGAGCCUGAACCAGCCAAGUCGCGUGAGGGAAGACGGUCCUAUGGAUUGUAAACCUCUUUUGUCGGGGAGCAAAAGACGCCACGCGUGGCGUUCCGAGCGUACCCCAAGAAAAAGCAUCGGCUAACUCCGUGCCAGCAGCCGCGGUAAUACGGAGGAUGCGAGCGUUAUCCGGAUUUAUUGGGUUUAAAGGGUGCGCAGGCGGAAGAUCAAGUCAGCGGUAAAAUUGAGUGGCCAAACCUGGUCGGGCGGUUGAAACUGGGUUGCUUGAGUGAGUGAAAAGUAUGCGGAAUGCGGGGUGUAGCGGUGAAAUGCGUAGAUAGCACGCAGAACUCCGAUUGCGAAGGCAGCAUACCGGAGCGCAACUGACGCUCAUGCACGAAAGUGUGGGUAUCGAACAGGAUUAGAUACCCCUGUAGUC